rnacentral:pre_miRNA from 1 species
AUAUUACUCCCUACUCCCGGAAAUAAUUAUUGGAGAAGUUGAUGUAUCUAGAUGAAUUUUAGUUCUAGAUUCAUCCAUUUUUAUACAUUUCUCUGACAAGUAUUUCUGGACUAAGGGAGUACAUG